AUGUACGGUGCGACGGGACAACUCCGGCGGCUGGACCGCACCGCACGCCACCGCAUCCAUUUCGUGUGCUGCGCUGCAUGGCCAGCGUGUCCGAUGUCGACGAACCGUCUCGCGAUACACAAGUCAACAGGACUAGAAAAUGCCAAUGCCGGACGAAUUUCGGGUCGCCUGCCGCAUGUGCGUUUCUUUUCGUUGGUUCUCCUCUGUUUUUUCCCCUCCAGGCCAGAUUAUAUUCUCUGUUUUUCUUGCUUCUUUUUCCUCUGCUGUCUUGUCCUUUUUCUAUCGAGGCAAAUUAUUUUCACUGUUUAA
rnacentral:rRNA from 1 species